AUGGCCGUCUUCCAGCAGGUCCAGAUUGCGGCCUUCUACUCGGCCUUCUUCGUCGGCGACGACGACCGUCUCUACUUCACCCGCGCCCCGUGGCGGCUGCGGCUGCUGCUGUCGAUGUGCGCCUACACGUCGCUGCUCAUGCUGGUCCUGUCCCACGUGGAGCUGUUCCUGCCGCGCGUGCCGUUCGCGGUGCACCAGGCGCUGCUCUACGGCGGCCUGCUCGCCGUCGUCAAUCCUAUGGGAAGCUUCGCCCUCGGCCUCCCCGUCGGCCACCAGAACGUCGUGGCGGGCUGCACUUGUCUCGUCGCCGUGCUCAUCGCUGGGCUCCUCGUGCUGUGGGCGUGGCUUGUUGGCCGCUACAGCGGCGGCCGGCAGCCGUCGGGUGGAGCUGCGACCGGCGCGGCUGCAGGAAACUCUAUGCCCAAGGCUCGCCCGCGCCGCUGGAAAAGAUACCAGAAGCUCGUUGCCCCGUACUAUGUGGCCGCUGCCACGCCACCUUCGAUCCUAUAG
rnacentral:rRNA from 1 species